GUGGGUAUAGCUCAGUGGUAAAAAGCAUGCUUAGCAUGUAGGAGGUCCUGGGUUCAAUCCCCAGUACCUCUU
rnacentral:tRNA from 1 species